rfam:Picea glauca, whole genome shotgun sequence.
GUUCAAACGAGGAAGGGAUUACGGUGGAUACCUAGGCACACAGAGACAAGGAAGGGCAUGGUAAGUGAUGAAAUGCUUCAGGGAGUUGAAAAUGAGCAUAGAUCCGGAGAUUCUUGAAUAGGUUAACCUUUUUAACUGUUGCUUAAUCCAUGGGUAGGCAAGAGACAAGUUGGUGAACUAAAACAUCUUAGUAGCUAGAGGAAUAGAAAGAAAAAUCGAUUCCCAUAGUAGCGGCGAGUGAAAUGGGAGCAGCCUAAACUAUGAAAAUGGGGUUGUGGGAGAGCACAAUAUAAGCUCUAUGCUGCUAGGCGAAGUGGUUGAGUCCUACACCCUAGAUGGUGAGAGUCUAAUAGCCAAAAGCAUCAUUGGGUUAUGCUCUAUUCCGAGUAGCAUGGGGCACGUGGAAUCCCAUGUGAAUCAGCAAGGACCACCUUGCAAGGCUAAAUACUCAUGUGUGACUGAUAGCGAAGUAGUACCGUGAGGGAAAGGUGAAAAGAACCCCCAUCGGGGAGUGAAAUAGAACAUGAUACCGUAAGCUCCCAAGUAGUGGGAGGAAAAUGAUAUCUCUGACCGCUUGCCUAUUGAAUAAUGAGUCGAUGACUUAUAGGCAGUGGCUUGGUUAAGGGAA